rnacentral:rRNA from 1 species
GGCGUGCUUAACACAUGCAAGUCGAACGGUGAACACGGAGCUUGCUCUGUGGGAUCAGUGGCGAACGGGUGAGUAACACGUGAGCAACCUGCCCCUGACUCUGGGAUAAGCGCUGGAAACGGCGUCUAAUACUGGAUAUGUGACGUGACCGCAUGGUCUGCGUUUGGAAAGAUUUUUCGGUUGGGGAGGGGCUCGCGGCCUAUCAGCUUGUUGGUGAGGUAAUGGCUCACCAAGGCGUCGACGGGUAGCCGGCCUGAGAGGGUGACCGGCCACACUGGGACUGAGACACGGCCCAGACUCCUACGGGAGGCAGCAGUGGGGAAUAUUGCACAAUGGGCGAAAGCCUGAUGCAGCAACGCCGCGUGAGGGAUGACGGCCUUCGGGUUGUAAACCUCUUUUAGCAGGGAAGAAGCGAAAGUGACGGUACCUGCAGAAAAAGCGCCGGCUAACUACGUGCCAGCAGCCGCGGUAAUACGUAGGGCGCAAGCGUUAUCCGGAAUUAUUGGGCGUAAAGAGCUCGUAGGCGGUUUGUCGCGUCUGCUGUGAAAUCCCGAGGCUCAACCUCGGGCCUGCAGUGGGUACGGGCAGACUAGAGUGCGGUAGGGGAGAUUGGAAUUCCUGGUGUAGCGGUGGAAUGCGCAGAUAUCAGGAGGAACACCGAUGGCGAAGGCAGAUCUCUGGGCCGUAACUGACGCUGAGGAGCGAAAGGGUGGGGAGCAAACAGGCUUAGAUACCCUGGUAGUCCACCCCGUAAACGUUGGGAACUAGUUGUGGGGUCCAUUCCACGGAUUCCGUGACGCAGCUAACGCAUUAAGUUCCCCGCCUGGGGAGUACGGCCGCAAGGCUAAAACUCAAAGGAAUUGACGGGGACCCGCACAAGCGGCGGAGCAUGCGGAUUAAUUCGAUGCAACG